rnacentral:lncRNA from 10 species
AAUAUUUAAAAUUAAAGAUAAACAUCUAGCUUUCCCCAGUUUCUUUAAUCUUUACUUUUAUUUCCUCCUUUACCCUUCCUGGAAAGAAAUGUUUAUAUAUUUUUACAUACAUGUCUGUAUAUUUAUUUUUUACUUUCACAACAUUAAUAGAGUAUGGUGCUUUGUCCAAAUCAAAAUGUGUAGAACUUCCUUCUUCUUUUAAUUAUAUGCAUAGAUUCCAGUGUUUAAAUUUCGUGUAACUACCCUUCCCACGUCCCUUCUUUCUGCCCUCUUGCCAUUAUCAGCUUCUUCAAAUCUAUCAUAUACACAACAGCUGUGAUGAUUAAUACUGAGUGUCAGCUCAAGUGGAUUGAAGGAUGCAAAGUAUUGUUCCUGUGUGUCUGUGAGGGUGUUGCCAAAGAUGUGUCUGUGUGGUGUGUCUGUGAGGGUGUUGCCAAAGGAGAUUAACAUUUGAGUCAGUGGACUGGUAGUGGCAGACCCACCCUCAAUCUGGCUGGACACAAUCUAAUCAGCUGCCAGCGAGGUUAGUAUAAGGCAAAAGAUGGAAGAGGAGACUGUCUGAGUCUUCCGGCUUUCAUCUUUCUCCCAUGCUGGAUGCUUCCUGGCCUUAAGCAUCAAACUUCAAGUUUUUCAGCUUUUGUACUCUUGGACUUACACCAGUGGUUUGCCAGGGGCUUUUGGGCCUUUGGCCACAGACUGAAGGCUGCACUGUCGACUUGCCUGCUUUUGAGGUUUUGGAACUCAAACUGAUUCACCACUGGCUUCCUUGCUCCUCAACUUGCAGAUGGCCUAUCAUGGGAACUUACUUUAUGAUUGCGUGAGUCAAUUCUCCUUAAUAAACUCCCUUUCACAUAUACAUAUAUCCUAUUAGUUCUGUCCCUCUAGCUAACCAUGAAUAAUACAGCAGCCAAAGUAAUCUUUCAAAAUAAAAAUAAAUUAAAACAAAUUUUUUUCUUUUCUUUCUUUUUUUUUUUUUUGAGACGGAGUCUCCCUCAGUCACCCAGGCUGAAGUGCAAUGGCAUGAUCUCAGCUCACUUCAACCUCUGCCUUCCAGUUUCAAGUGAUUCUCCUGCCUCAGCCUCCCGAGUAGUUGGGAUUACAGGCGCCCGCCACCACUCCCGGCUAAUUUUUGUAUUUUUAGUAGAGAUGGGGUUUCACCAGGUUGGCCAGGCUAUAAAAAAAUUUUUUUAAAUGAGGCCAGUACAUAAAACACUGCAAUGAUUUCUUAGGAAUUUAAAAGAUACCUGACGCAGAGUAAACGUUCUACUAAAUAUUUGAUGAAUGAAAGAAAAGAGGAAAAUACAGCUUUACACUCAAGAAAGAAACAAAAGGAACAAGUUGCUUUUCCAUUUUUUUGCUAAACAACACUGAAAUGAGUGUACUUUUUACAUGUAUUUAGGAAUAAUUUUGCAAAGAUUUUCCUGGGAGAUGCAUGGUAAAGGAAUCACUACUGUUGAAGAUCGGCUAUGUAGUCAAAAGUCUGCCCCAAUGUAUGGUACCAAUUUUGACUUUUACCAGUAGUGUAAGUGAAUAGCUACUUCCCUACAUCCUCACCAAGACUGGACAUUAUAAAGUUUUAUAUUUUUGCUAAUAUGGAAGAUCAUUUUAUUUCUUAGCAGAAUAAGGUUUAGCACUGUUUUAUAUGCUUAUUGGGGACAUAAUUUUUUUUAAGAGUCUUUUUAUAUCUAUUGCUACACAAAUGGCCGAUGUUUUCCUUUGUUUUUAAUUAUUCAUAUUUUCUUCAUAGUACCCAUACGUUUUUGGUUUUAACAAAUGUCUAAAAAUUUAUUUAUGUUGGAAAUCUGUGUUUAAACUACUUCAAUUAUUUGGUUAGUAUGUGGUGUUCUUGAGGUAAAUAUCAUAGAUUUGAUAACAGUAUGUGGUAAUUUAUUUCACCUAGAAAAACUGGCUAGGGAAUAUACAACCACUUCCAGCCAUUCUGUAUGCAGGUGAAUCUUGGUUUCCCUGUGGGCAAUGAUGUAUGGAACUUACGAACAAUAUGGGCAGAUCAACAAACAGCACAUAAAGGUCAUUAUGCAAUCUUUCUCGGACUCAGCUCUCUAAUUCUUAAGCCACAGCAAAAGAGAUGAAAUUCUGCCUGAACUAUUAUCCUCCAUUUACAGUUAAGUAAACUGAGGCCCUGGAAAAUGAGGCACUUUAGUUUUAAAAGCUGCUAAAGUCUAUUGCUACAUCAUGCAGACAAUGAACAAUGAGUGUUGGAGAAUGUCCUUUCCUGCCUCUUAAUCAUUCUGAAUCGAAACUAAUGAUAAACUUCAAUCAAUGACAUUGAGGGGAUGGGUAAGGGAUAAUAUAAAGAGUCCUCUAUGCAUGCUAAUUUGUUGUUACAUGUGACCUAAGAUGGUGGUUUCUUGCUUUAAAGACCUUACUAAUCAUUACAGAGUAUUCUUAUUCUCUGCUCAAUAAUUUGGAAAUGACUUAGGUCCUGUAACUCUCUGUGUCUCUAAUUUCUGAUCUCUGUAUUCAUCCAUGCUGUCUUUAGUACAAGUAUUUAUUUAUGUAGACUUCCCUUGUUCUGUUCUUUAUGUUACAUGGAGGAAAUUCUGAGAAACUUCAUCAGUAGCACUAUGAAACUCCUUCCAUACAGAACAGUCUAGAACAGGCAUUGUCAAACUGGGCUAAAUCUGUUCUGCCAUCUGCUUUUCUAAAGAAAAUGUUGUUGGAACACAACCACGUUCAUUCAUUUCUGUAUUGUCUGUGGCAGAGAUUGACCAUCACGAUAGAGACCAUAUGAGUUGAAAAGCCUAAAACAUUUAUUACCUGGCUCUGAACAGAAAAUACUUGCUGACUUCUGGUCUGGAACAGCACUGUGUAUAUACCUCAGGUUUAAUACUGGAAGUCUCCAUUAGUCCUUCUUCAGAGGUGACUAGAGUGCACAGUCAUAAUGACAGGGCCCCAAGGACUUCUCUAACUCACACUCCCUGUCCAGUCACCUUCACUGCAACAACCAUCUUACCAAGGGGUGCUGUCACUGCUCCUGUCCACUUUCUGGCCGUCAGAUGCCUCGAGAGUUCUUCUUGCCCUUGAUAAGGAAUAAACUUGUCAGUUGCAUGUGGCAGUUUUUCAACUGAUUUGGGAGAUGAUGCAGAUUUUGCUAUUUCUUAACUUUCAAUUGUUGUGUUUUCUGGUUCUCAGUAGGGAGACAUGAAGAAAAUUGCUGAUUCCCUUCAGUUAAAUAACAGUUUAGAUUAAACCAGCAAGAACUUUUGCUCUUUAAUAAAAUGCAAAGUUACCAUGCCUUUCUCCGGCUCGAUCAUUCAUGCAUCAUAAUGUGAAUGGAGUUGUAGGAGUAUGAUGUUUAUUCUCACAAUAGGUUUAAUUCUGAGUAAAAGCACUAAUUGAAAAAUCAGAAGAAUUUUGUCUUUAAGAGCUCAUGUUAAUGCAUGCAUUCAUCCAUCUGAAUUUUGAUGAUCUCGGUUUUUUUCUGUGUAAAUUCUUAUCAGAAUGGAGUGACUCUAAAUUGCGCCCUGCUUGUAACUUUCAUGUAUGAUUUGCUCCCUUGUUGUUUACCAGCCCUUUUAAAACUACAUAGUAGAAAGAAAAUAUUUUAAACAAUGUCACAUCCAGACGGUGAUUUCUCAAAGCUUCAAAUGCAGGCUUUAAUCCUUCUCCCAGGUUAGCCAGACUCAGGCUGCUGCACAGCACUGGGGCUUUUCAGACACAUUAAGGAUUCUGGACAGGCUUCACCCCAGACACCCUUGUGCUC